rnacentral:piRNA from 1 species
UCAGACAUGCCUAUCACUGAACUACAAUGU